GGGACCUAUACCCCCGUCAGCUGCAGGAAAGGAACAAAGAGACAGGUGAUUAAUGCCCGGUGAGAGUGUGAAAGGGACCUAUACCCCCGUCAGCAGCAGGAAAGGAACAAAGAGACAGGUGAUUGAUGCCCGGUGAGAGGGUGAAAGGGACCUAUACCCCCGUCAGCUGCAGGAAAGGAACAAAGAGACAGGUGAUUAAUGCCCGGUGAGAGGGUGAAAGGGACCUAUACCCCCGUCAGCUGCAGGAAAGGAACAAAGAGACAGGUAAUUAAU